rnacentral:rRNA from 1 species
GUGGGGAAUAUUGGACAAUGGGGGGAACCCUGAUCCAACCAUGCCGCGUGUGUGAAGAAGGCCUUUUGGUUGUAAAGCACUUUAAGCGAGGAGGAGGCUACCGAGAUUAAUACUCUUGGAUAGUGGACGUUACUCGCAGAAUAAGCACCGGCUAACUCUGUGCCAGCAGCCGCGGUAAUACAGAGGGUGCAAGCGUUAAUCGGAUUUACUGGGCGUAAAGCGCGCGUAGGUGGCCAAUUAAGUCAAAUGUGAAAUCCCCGAGCUUAACUUGGGAAUUGCAUUCGAUACUGGUUGGCUAGAGUAUGGGAGAGGAUGGUAGAAUUCCAGGUGUAGCGGUGAAAUGCGUAGAGAUCUGGAGGAAUACCGAUGGCGAAGGCAGCCAUCUGGCCUAAUACUGACACUGAGGUGCGAAAGCAUGGGGAGCAAACAGGAUUAGAAACCCCAGUAGUCC